GGGCAGUAGGAAACUUUCUGAGACACACCUUUAAAAUUAGUUAUAAUGUGUGCUAUGUUUACAGAUCUUAGUUUUGAAGACCAACAACACAACAAUACUUCCAGAUCUCCAUCUAACCUCUGCUUAUUUGAGAGGGGCUUUGUAUUUUCAACAGGAGAGUUCAAAGUUCAUUUUUUUUCCAGCAACUAUAGUUCUAAGUGAAAUAAUCUAUUGUUAUUGAGACGUGAUAUUUUACAUAUUUAUGGGAUACCCAUGAGUCAUGAUCUAUUUUAAGUAAUACCUUAGUGUUGUAAAAUCAGCAGUACUUUUAAAAAUAAAUGUACGUUGUUAAUUAUCCCACUUGUGUCAUCAGAACUACAGCUUGAACAAGUCCACCUUCCAUGGACCAAGCACCACCCUGCACAUUUCUAGCAUGAGCAAAAUCCAAGGUCCUGGCUGGACUCCAGAGAUGCUGUUUACCUCAGAAGUAUGACAAUAGGAGGCAGAAGAAGCAGGCAAAUCCAACUUCUUUCUUGCAGUUUUCUUGGUUGGGGAGGAAAAGUUGAAUUUUACUAUUAUGGAGAAGAAACAGGAAAUAGAGACAGGCCAAGCACAUCUGCAAAAAAGAUAUUGCUGGAGGAGGUGCAAGAGCUGGAAACCAAGUUUCCUGUCCUGGGAAAAGCAGUGGUGUGGAAGAGCAGUGGAAAGAGAGAGUUCUGGAGUCAGAAGAACAAGUACUUGUUAUGUAUCAUAGGUACUGGGAAGAAUACAGCAAGGGUGCAGACUAUUUGGACUGCUUAUAUAGGUGAGUGUGCCUUUAAAGUCUAGACAAGCUAAGCAGCGUUGCCUGCAUUCAAUAGUUGACAAGAU
rnacentral:lncRNA from 1 species